CCUACGGGUGGCAGCAGUGAGGAAUAUUGGUCAAUGGGCGGGAGCCUGAACCAGCCAAGUAGCGUGAGGGAAGACGGUCCUACGGAUUGUAAACCUCUUUAGGAGAGGAGCAAUGUCGGGCACGUGUGCCCGGAGGGAGAGUACCCGCAGAAUAAGCAUCGGCUAACUCCGGGCCAGAACCCGCGGUAAUCGGGGGGAUGCGAGCGUGAUCCGGAUUUAUGGGGGUGAAAGGGUGCGUAGGGGGUUGUUUAAGUCAGCGGUAAAGUGUCAGGGCUAAACCCGGGAGGGCCGUUGAAAGUGGGGAUGUGGCGUGGGCGAGAGGUAUGCGGAGUGCGUGGGGUAGCGGUGGCAUGGAUUG
rnacentral:rRNA from 1 species